CCUACGGGGGGCUGCAGUAGGGAAUAUUGGACAAUGGGGGCAACCCUGAUCCAGCAACGCCGCGUGAGUGAUGAAGGCCUUCGGGUCGUAAAGCUCUGUCGCAGGGGACGAACAAAAUGACGGUACCCUGCAAGAAAGGACCGGCCAACUUCGUGCCAGCAGCCGCGGUAAUACGGGGGGUCCAAGCGUUGUCCGGAAUCACUGGGCGUAAAGCGUGUGUAGGUGGCUUUUCAAGUCAUGUGUGAAAGCCCGGGGCCUAACCCCGGAAGUGCACU
rnacentral:rRNA from 1 species